rnacentral:lncRNA from 1 species
UGCCGUGAAAACCUGAAGAUCACAAAAAGGAGGAGGAAGAGCUUCAGCUCUCAUCCCUAUGAAGAGGGGCAAGAUGAAGCUCUGAAGUCUCCAGUUGCCUGCUGUCUCCUGAAAACUCAUCCUGCAGAAGAAUCAGCUUACAUAGCCUGCCCACAGGACUAUCUUAAAUAUUCUUGGAGUUCACAGUCACCUGAUGUCAAGGCUCCCCAUCACUCUGUAUGGCUGUUUGAAAGCCUGCCUGAGGUACUUCUCUCACUCAGUUCAAACAGUAUAUCAUUUAGGUUAAACAUUACCAUCUUGGGAUCCUCUGUGAGUCUAAUUUACCCAUUUGUUUUUUUUCUUCUCCAGGAAGACUCCUGGAGCUCUCCACACUCUGCUUGAGAGCCUAAAGGGCUCCUAGGCUGCUUUAUGAGGAACAUGAGCACACUGGCCUAUGAGCACUUUGAUGGCUAGCAGGAACCCCUGGAAAUCCUCAGUUUGUGCUGGCUGAAGGACCCUCAUCUUCACAGCAUGACUAA